rnacentral:rRNA from 1 species
AUGCUUAUUGCUUGGAAUGAGCUUUUUUGUGUAGUCAAGAAUCUGAGCUUAAAUGAUUGUGAGGACACUAUUAUUUGGGAUCUGGAGCCUAAGGGUAUAUACACUGUUAAAUCUUAUUAUAAUUUUGUGAAUUUUAGAGGAGUGGUUCCAGACAACAUUAUGUUGAUCUGGAAAGCUAAUGUUCCUCAGAGGAUCCAGAUCUUUCUCUGGUUGCUUGUGAGGAACAAGCUACUCACCAGAGACAAUCUUCUGAAGAGGCAGCAUGUAGCUGAUCCUACCUGCCUAUUCUGUAAUGAAGCAGAAUCGGUUAAUCAUCUUUUUUUUGAUUGCGUUGUUGCGAGAGAACUCUGGAGAGAGAUCUUUAGCCCCAUGGGAUGCAACGUUGAGCUUAACUCGCAUGGGCUCCUUGAGUGGUGGGCUAGAAAUGACAACAAAACUGCAGAUAUUAUGCUUCAUGCAGCUGCAUUUUGGGCUCUCUGGAUGUAUCGCAAUGAUAUUUACUUUAAUGUUGUGCCUUGGCUUGGUAUGCAGGUUAUGUGGCAAAAGAUAGCUUCCUUUUUAACAUUGUGGGAGAUCAAAUGUGCGGAUACAGUCCAGAGGAGAUGUCGUCUCCUGGUACAAAAGAUGGAGCAUUUGGCGCGAGCACCGCCUCUUCUCCUUUGGCCAGACCCUGGCUAG